GACGAACGCUGGCGGCGUGCUUAACACAUGCAAGUCGAACGGUGAAAGCGGAGCUUGCUCCGCUGGAUCAGUGGCGAACGGGUGAGUAACACGUGGGCAACCUGCCCCUCACUUCGGGAUAGCUGCGGGAAACUGUAGCUAAUACCGGAUACGACCCUCGGCGGCAUCGCCAGGGGGUGGAAAGAAUUUCGGUCAAGGAUGGACUCGCGGCCUAUCAGCUAGUUGGUGAGGUAACGGCUCACCAAGGCGACGACGGGUAGCCGGCCUGAGAGGGUGACCGGCCACACUGGGACUGAGACACGGCCCAGACUCCUACGGGAGGCAGCAGUGGGGAAUAUUGCACAAUGGGCGCAAGCCUGAUGCAGCAACGCCGCGUGAGGGAUGACGGCCUUCGGGUUGUAAACCUCUUUUAGUAGGGAAGAAGCGAAAGUGACGGUACCUGCAGAAAAAGCACCGGCUAACUACGUGCCAGCCGCCGCGGUAA
rnacentral:rRNA from 1 species